GACGAACGCUGGCGGCGUGCCUAACACAUGCAAGUCGAACGGAAACUUCCGGCUUUGGUGGGGAACGGUGGGUGCCACCGGGGGACCUGCCCUUUAGUUCCGUAUCACUCCCCGUAAGGUGUCCUCAUAACAGUUAAUCUCUUCCCGCCAAAGAUUUAUUGCCUUUGGAUGGGGCCGCGUUGGAUUCGCUAGUUGGUAGGGUAAAAGCCUACCAAGGCGACGAUCCAUAGCUGGUCUGUGAGGAGGAUCAGCCACACUGGGAAUGAGACACGGCCCAGCGUCCGACGGGAGGCAGCAGUGGGGAAUAUUGGACAAGGGGCGAAAGCCUGAUCCAGCAAUGCCGCGGGAGUGAUGAAGGCCGUAGGGUUGUAAAGCUCUUUUACCCGGGAUGAUAAUGACAGUACCGGGAGAAUAAGCUCCGGCUAACUCCGUG
rnacentral:rRNA from 1 species